UGCGUAGGCGGGUCUUUAAGUCAGGGGUGAAAUCCUGGAGCUCAACUCCAGAACUGCCUUUGAUACUGAAGAUCUUGAGUUCGGGAGAGGUGAGUGGAACUGCGAGUGUAGAGGUGAAAUUCGUAGAUAUUCGCAAGAACACCAGUGGCGAAGGCGGCUCACUGGCCCGAUACUGACGCUGAGGCACGAAAGCUGGGGAGCAAACA
rnacentral:rRNA from 1 species